rnacentral:tRNA from 2 species
AAAGAAUUAGUUAAACCCAAUAACAUAAAUAUGUCAAAUUUAAAUUAUUACUUUAUAAAAGUAAUAUUCUUUU